UACGUAGGGGGCAAGCGUUGUCCGGAAUUAUUGGGCGUAAAGCGCGCGCAGGCGGCUGUUUAAGUCUCAUGUUUAAACCCAGGGCUCAACCUUGGGUCGCAUGGGAAACUGGGCAGCUUGAGUGUAGGAGAGGAAAGUGGAAUUCCACGUGUAGCGGUGAAAUGCGUAGAGAUGUGGAGGAACACCAGUGGCGAAGGCGACUCUCUGGUCUGUAACUGACGCUGAGGCGCGAAAGCGUGGGGAGCAAACAGG
rnacentral:rRNA from 1 species